UAAUGAGAACAUCUCUUGCAGCAUAGGUUCACUAAGUCCAUUCUGUGCAGUGGUGGUUCUCCUUUGGACUUGGAAGAGAGCCUCUCUAGUAUAAUGAGAACAUCUCUUGCAGCAUAGGUUCACUAAGUCCAUUCUGUGCAGUGGUGGUUCUCCUUUGGACUUGGAAGAGAGCCUCUCUAGUAUAAUGAGAACAUCUCUUGCAGCAUAGGUUCACUAAGUCCAUUCUGUGCAGUGGUGGUUCUCCUUUGGACUUGGAAGAGAGCCUCUCUAGUAUAAUGAGAACAUCUCUUGCAGCAUAGGUUCACUAAGUCCAUUCUGUGCAGUGGUGGUUCUCCUUUGGACUUGGAAGAGAGCCUCUCUAGUAUAAUGAGAACAUCUCUUGCAGCAUAGGUUCACUAAGUCCAUUCUGUGCAGUGGUGGUUCUCCUUUGGACUUGGAAGAGAGCCUCUCUAGUAUAAUGAGAACAUCUCUUGCAGCAUAGGUUCACUAAGUCCAUUCUGUGCAGUGGUGGUUCUCCUUUGGACUUGGAAGAGAGCCUCUCUAG